GAUGAACGCUGGCGGCGUGCCUAAUACAUGCAAGUCGAGCGAACAGAUGAGGAGCUUGCUCCUCUGACGUUAGCGGCUGACGGGUGAGUAACACGUGGAUAACCUACCUAUAAGACUUGGAUAACUUCGGGAAACCGGAGCUAAUACCGGAUAAUAUAUUGAACCGCAUGGUUCAAUAGUGAAAGACGGUUUUGCUGUCACUUAUAGAUGGAUCCGCGCCGCAUUAGCUAGUUGGUAAGGUAACGGCUUACCAAGGCAACGAUGCGUAGCCGACCUGAGAGGAUGAUCGGCCACACUGGAACUGAGACACGGUCCAGACUCCUACGGGAGGCAGCAGUAGGGAAUCUUCCGCAAUGGGCGAAAGCCUGACGGAGCAACGCCGCGUGAGUGAUGAAGGUCUUCGGAUCGUAAAACUCUGUUAUUAGGGAAGAACAACUGUGUAAGUAACUAUGCACGUCUUGACGGUACCUAAUCAGAAAGCCACGGCUAACUACGUG
rnacentral:rRNA from 1 species